UUCUCUGGUUGAUCCUGCCGGACCUGACUGCUAUCGGAUUGGUACUAAGCCAUGUGAGUCAUUGUAGCAAUACAAGGCAUACGGCUCAGUAACACGUAGUCAAUCUAACCUAUGGACGUGGAUAACCUCGGGAAACUGAGAAUAAUCCGCGAUAGAUCAUAAUUCCUGGAACGGUUUAUGGUCCAAAUGAUUCGUCGCCAUAGGAUGGGACUGCGGCCUAUCAGCUUGUUGGUGAGGUAAUGGCUCACCAAGGCUAUUACAGGUACGGGCUCUGAGAGGAGAAGCCCGGAGAUGGGUACUGAGACACGGACCCAGGCCCUAUGGGGCGCAGCAGGCGAGAAACCUUUGCAAUGUGCGCAAGCACGACAAGGUUAAUCCGAGUGUUUCCUGCUAAAGGAAUCUUUUGUUAGUUCUAAAACCACUGAUGAAUAAGAGGUGGGCAAGUUCUGGUGUCAGCCGCCGCGGUAAAACCAGCACCUCAAGUGGUCAGGAGGAUUAUUGGGCCUAAAGCAUCCGUAGCCGGUUCUGUAAGUUUUCGGUUAAAUCCACUAGCUUAACUAAUGGGCUGCCGAAAAUACUGCAGAACUAGGGAGUGGGAGAGGUAGACGGUACUCGGUAGGAAGGGGUAAAAUCCUUUGAUCUAUUGAUGACCACCUGUGGCGAAGGCGGUCUACCAGAACACGUUCGACGGUGAGGGAUGAAAGCUGGGGGAGCAAACCGGAUUAGAUACCCGGGUAGUCCCAGCUGUAAACGAUGCAGACUCGGUGAUGCACUGGCUUGUGGCCAGUGCAGUGCCGCAGGGAAGCCGUUAAGUUUGCCGCCUGGGAAGUACGUACGCAAGUAUGAAACUUAAAGGAAUUGGCGGGGGAGCAC
rnacentral:rRNA from 1 species